rnacentral:tRNA from 1 species
GGGGACGUAGCUCAGUGGUAGAGCGGCUGGCUUUUAACCAGCGGGUCGUGGGUUCGAGCCCCACCGUCCUCACCA